rnacentral:rRNA from 1 species
CAGCAGCCGCGGUAAUGCGUAGGGUGCAAGCGUUAAUCGGAAUUACUGGGCGUAAAGCGUGCGCAGGCGGUUAUAUAAGUCAGAUGUGAAAUCCCCGGGCUCAACCUGGGAACUGCAUUUGAGACUGUAUGGCUAGAGUGUGUCAGAGGGGGGUAGAAUUCCACGUGUAGCAGUGAAAUGCGUAGAUAUGUGGAGGAAUACCGAUGGCGAAGGCAGCCCCCUGGGAUAACACUGACGCUCAUGCACGAAAGCGUGGGGAGCAAACAGGAUUAGAUACCCCCGUAGUCCCUGUCUCUUAUAC